rnacentral:rRNA from 1 species
UACGGGGGGGGCAAGCGUUGUUCGGAAUUACUGGGCGUAAAGAGCUCGUAGGCGGUUUGUCGCGUCUGCCGUGAAAGUCCGGGGCUCAACUCCGGAUCUGCGGUGGGUACGGGCAGACUAGAGUGCAGUAGGGGAGACUGGAAUUCCUGGUGUAGCGGUGAAAUGCGCAGAUAUCAGGAGGAACACCGGUGGCGAAGGCGGGUCUCUGGGCAGUAACUGACGCUGAGGAGCGAAAGCGUGGGGAGCGAACAGG